AUGUUUAAGCUGCAGGUCCCUGGACCCAAGGGCACUGAACACAACAAGCGAAAGCUCAAAUGGCCAUUUUGGAGCGCUUCCCGCAGGCGGCCGAGGUCUGGAGAAGCUGGUGGCAGGGAACCCAGGAGAAUGCCUUUGACGAUGACCAAAGGCUGGGACGGGUGGGAAGGAAGUGAGAAGAACGCCGCAAACCCAGCGGGCGAAAGCUUAUCUAUUCUCGUGACUCUGCUCACUGGCUCGCCUAGGACACCGCCACAGAGAUUUUUGGCAGGUAAGAAUGUUAGAUUUAUGAUGGCGAAGUCCCAGCUCUUUGAAUUAUUUGAAGGAAUCCCAGCCAAAGGAAAAAAAAAAAAAAAGAGAGAGAGAAUUUGACUUAGACAGAAAAAAACAUAUUAAGAGAGUUUUCAAUCUGUUAUCAACCUUUGUCCAGCCACGGAGCACUGGAUGUUCCAUCCACACAGGGGGACCAUCCAGAAAGGCGGUGAAGUCAUGCUUGCUGGUUCUCAGGCCUGAAGCCUCCUCCAGGUCCUCUGGGCCCCACCCUCCCCCACCCUCCCUCCUUCUCCCUCUCUUUCUUUCCUUCCUUCCAGGCCCAGCUCUCACCUCCCUGCCACUGACACUCAGCACCUCCGCCCAGGUAAGGUAGGCACACGGCACCUUGCAGGCAGUAGGCGCUCAGCGCUCAGCCGGCUGCUGCCUUCGAUCCUUACGACAACGAAGAGACCCCCUCAACCCUCCUGGCACCUUUGAUGCACCAACCUUUGACCUGCAGGGAAAGCAGGACCCUGAGUCGCCGGGCAUCACGGGGCUGGUUCCGAGAGCACGGGGGUGGGCCAAGAAUGCUAUUGACUAAUCUUUGGUCAUCCUUCUUUAUUCAAACUCCAAGAACGUCGAGUGUUGCAGCCAAGAGGCUUCUUUUGCCCCGAGUCUGCGGGGCUAGGUCCACUGUCCUGUACCGGGGAAGCCUCCCGGGUCUGGGCUGUUUUCAGUCUAGGCAUGGAUCUGUCACUUCUUUUUUUUUUCUUCCACUGACUUGUUUAUUGUGUGAAAUGCACACAGUGCAAAAUUCACCAUUUUAACCAUUUUUCCUGGUCAGUUCGGCAGCAUGGAGUACUUUCACGCGGCUGAGCAACCUUCUUUGGAUGCGCUGAGCCUGAUCCUCUGCCCACGUGCUCUGUGAGCAGCCUGCUCCCUGCGCCCUGACGAAAGGCCUCAUUCCAGUUGCCGUCUUGAGCUCAGCAGAGGCUUGGAGAGCGUGAUGCUUCUACUCAGCCAUGAAAAGGAAGGAGAUGCUGCCGUUUGCAGCAACGUGGAUGGACCUAGAGGUGAUCAAGUGAAGUGAAGUAAGUCAGGGAACAUCACUUCUACGUGGAAUCUAAAAAACACGACAGAAAAGAUCUUAUGUAUAAACCAGAAACAAAGUUCCUGAUUUCAAAAUCAAACUUAGGGUUCCCUAAGGGGCGGGGCGGGGGGGUAAAUUGGGAGGAUGGGAUUAACACUUAUGCACACUGAUAUAUUAAAACAGGUAAACGGCAAGGACCCACUGAAUAGUACAGGGAACUCGCCUCAGUAUUCGGAUGGGAAAUUACCAGAUGGGAAAAACUGGAUAUAUGUAUGUGCGUAACUGAUCCACUUUGCUGUAAGCCUGAAGCUAAUACAACAUUGUAAGUCAAAUACACACCAAUAAGAUUUUUUUUUAAUUUAGGCAUUUUAAGAGUAUAUUUAAAAAAUACAGUUUAGGAGUUCCCGUCGUGGCACAGUGGUUCACGAAUCUGACUAGGAACCAUGAGGUUGCCGGUUCGAUCCCUGGCCUUGCUCAGUGGGUUAACGAUCCGGCGUUGCCGUGAGCUGUGGUGUAGGUUGCAGACGCGGCUUGGAUGCCGCGUUGCUGUGGCUGUAGUGUUGGCUGGUGGCUACAGCUCCAAUUCAACCCCUAGCCUGGGAACCUCCACAUGCUGCGGGAGCGGCCCUAGAAAAGGCAAAAAGACAAAAAAAAAAAAAAUACAGUUUUAAAAAGAGAUCAUGUUGUUUAUACCUUCAGCCAGAGGUGACCUUCUCUGCAGCCUCCUGACAUCUGGUCUCAAGACUUCCUACAAGAGAGUUCCUGUGGUGGCUCAGUGGAAACAAAUCCCAAUAGGAACCAUGAGAUUGUGGGUUCGAUGCCUGGCCUUGCUCAGUGGGGUUAAGGAUCAGGUGUUGUCGUGAGCUGUUGCAGACAUGGCUUGGAUCUGGCUUUGCUGUGGCUGUGGUGUAGGCCGGCAGCUACAGCUCUGAUUUGAUCCCCAGCCUGGGAACAUCCAUAUGCUGCAAGUGAGGCCCUAAAAAAGGAAAGAAAAAACAAACAAACAAAAAACAAAACAAAACAAACUGCAAGGGAUUCAAGACUUCCGCUCAAACCUGCCUCUGAUGGGAUGUUCAUCACUUGAUAAGCUAGUCUUUGCUCUCCUGGGCCACUGAGCCCCCCUGGCCUCUCUGUACUGCUGCCUCCUGACCCAGCUCACUGGAGCAUGUUCCAGAAGGCUCUUCUCUCUUCUACAGGAGGGUGCUUCAAAUAUCUGCGAAGUCACGCAGGAACAGAAGCCCCACUGGCUCAGUAGUCAGACAAACUUGAGUUUAAAUCUAAAAUCUAUUGAUGUGCCCCGGGGAAUAUCGGUUCCAUUCUCUGAGCCUCCGUUUUCCCUUCUGUAAAAUGGGGAUCCUGCCAUCAAGGUGUUGUGAGGCUAAGAAAUAAUGCCCAGCAAACAGCCAGCAUGACUCGUGAAACGUGACCGUCUCUGGAAGUUGUUUUUGUUUAAAGAGAGAGAAGACCCCUCGGCCUGCACGUCCCCAGGGCCCCUUCCUUUCUCUCACGUGACCACAUGUCUGUUUAUGUCACGGGUCCUCCCCACUGUCGUUAGGGUUUACAUGCCGCGGAGCGUCUGUCGUUCUCCACCUGCGUUUCACAACCAGUUCUGCACUGAAGUCCGGCUACGUGAUGUAGCGCGUCGGUGAAUUGGAGGCAGUAAUCACCCACCCAUCAAAUGUUUACACACUGUGUCUCUGCGCAGAGUGAGAGGCUCUGGGCUGUGUUUAUAUAACCGUCUAUGAUUAUUCGUGUAACAGCUUAUGAUUACGUAACGGCCUGUGAGCCAGAGAUGGAGUCCAGACGUGUCUGCAAGAGAGGGAUGGGGAGGACCCCGGCGGGUGUGUGUUCACAGGAGGCUGCGGGGCCUGCUGGGAGGGUGCCCGUCCCUAGGCAGGAGCAGUCGAGUGCGGUAAGGGUCUUUCUGAUCCUUGCAAGGGAGGGGUGACUCUGCGUGGCUGUCCCUCAAGUCCACCCCCGGUCCGGUCCAGUCCAGAACAUGGACAUUUAUCUGGCUUCGAGAAAAAGAGAGGAUCUGAACAUUAAAAAAAAAAAAAAAAAAAAAAAGCAGUGCUAUUAAGAAUGUUGACAGGAGAAAGGAAAUCAUGAAGCUCUGAGCAGAAAUAGAGACGAAAACUGCAGUAAAAAGGAUCAAUGAAGUUAAGAGCUGUUUCUUUGAAAAGAUAAGCAAAAUCAACACAUCUUUAAUUAGACUAACAACAAAAAAAAAAAGACAGGGGGUUCAAAUAAAGCAGAAGUGAAGGAGGAGACGUUACAGCUGAUACCCCAGAAAUCAUGAGACCACUACGCACAGUUAUAUGCCAGCAGAUUGGAGCACCUAGAAGAAAUGAAUAAAUUCCUAGAAACAUAUAAUCUUCCAAGGCCGAAUAGUGAAGAAAUAAAAAAAUACAAAUAAGCUGAUUCCUAGUGAGGAGAUGGAACCAGUAAUCAAAAACCUCCCAACAAAUGAACGCCCGGGAUCAGAAAGCUUCACUGGAAAACAGUCUAAAACAGUCCGAGAAGAUUUAAUACCUCUACUUUGCAAACUCUUCCAAAAAGUAGAAGAGGAGGGAAACUUUCCAAACAUUUUACGAAGCCAGCGUCACCUUGAUACCAAAGCCAGACAAGGAUGCUCUGCAAAAAAGAGAAUUACGGGCCAAUGUCCUUGAUGAACGUAGACACAAAAAUCCUCCACAAAGAUCUCAGCAAACGGAAUUCAAUGAUACCUUAAAAGGAUCCUACGCCGUGAUGAAGUGGGAUUUAUUCCAGGGAUGCAAAUAUGGUUGGACAUCCUUAAAUCAGUCAGUGUGAUACACUGCAUCCCCAAAACAAAGGAUAAAAAUGGCGUGAUCGUCUCAAUAGAG
rnacentral:lncRNA from 9 species